AAGUAUAAGCAAUNAUACCGCGAAACUGCGAAUGGCUCAUUAAAUCAGUUAUCGUUUAUUUGAUAGUACCUUACUACUUGGAUAACCGUGGUAAUUCUAGAGCUAAUACAUGCUGAAAACCCCGACUUCGGAAGGGAUGUAUUUAUUAGAUUAAAAACCAAUGCCCUUCGGGGCUCCCUGGUGAUUCAUAAUAACUUCUCGAAUCGCACGGCCUUGCGCCGGCGAUGGUUCAUUCAAAUUUCUGCCCUAUCAACUUUCGACGGCUGGGUCUUGGCCAGCCAUGGUGACAACGGGUAACGGAGGGUUAGGGCUCGACCCCGGAGAAGGAGCCUGAGAAACGGCUACUACAUCCAAGGAAGGCAGCAGGCGCGCAAAUUACCCAAUCCCGACACGGGGAGGUAGUGACAAUAAAUACUGAUACAGGGCUCUUUUGGGUCUUGUAAUUGGAAUGAGUACAAUUUAAUUCCCUUAACGAGGAACAAUUGGAGGGCAAGUCUGGUGCCAGCAGCCGCGGUAAUUCCAGCUCCAAUAGCGUAUAUUAAAGUUGUUGCAGUUAAAAAGCUCGUAGUUGAACCUUGGGCCUGGCUGGCCGGUCCGCCUCACCGCGUGCACUGGUCCGGCCGGGUCUUUCCCUCUGGGGAGCCGCAUGCCCUUCACUGGGUGUGUCGGGGAACCAGGACUUUUACUUUGAAAAAAUUAGAGUGUUCAAAGCAGGCUUAUGCUCGGAUACAUUAGCAUGGAAUAAUAGAAUAGGACGUGCGGUUCUAUUUUGUUGGUUUCUAGGACCGCCGUAAUGAUUAAUAGGGACAGUCGGGGGCAUCAGUAUUCAAUUGUCAGAGGUGAAAUUCUUGGAUUUAUUGAAGACUAACUACUGCGAAAGCAUUUGCCAAGGAUGUUUUCAUUAAUCAGGAACGAAAGUUAGGGGAUCGAAGACGAUCAGAUACCGUCGUAGUCUUAACCAUAAACUAUGCCGACUAGGGAUCGGACGAUGUUAUUUUUUGACUCGUUCGGCACCUUACACGAAAGUACA
rnacentral:rRNA from 1 species